CAUGUCUAUUGUACUUCAUCAGGUGCUCUGGUUGAAUUUAAAUACCCGGCACAUGUUGGAGUACACCACAUUUG
rnacentral:pre_miRNA from 1 species